rnacentral:rRNA from 1 species
AUUGAACGCUGGCGGCAGGCCUAACACAUGCAAGUCGAGCGGAUGAAGGGGGCUUGCUCCUGGAUUCAGCGGCGGACGGGUGAGUAAUGCCUAGGAAUCUGCCUGGUAGUGGGGGAUAACGUCCGGAAACGGGCGCUAAUACCGCAUACGUCCUGAGGGAGAAAGUGGGGGAUCUUCGGACCUCACGCUAUCAGAUGAGCCUAGGUCGGAUUAGCUAGUUGGUGGGGUAAAGGCCUACCAAGGCGACGAUCCGUAACUGGUCUGAGAGGAUGAUCAGUCACACUGGAAGUGGGACGCGGUCCAGACUCCUACGGGAGGCAGCAGUGGGGAAUAUUGGACGAUGGGCGAAAGCCUGAUCCAGCCAUGCCGCGUGUGUGAAGAAGGUCUUCGGAUUGGAAAGCACUUUAAGGUGGGAGGAAGGGCAGUAAGUUAAUACCUUGCUGUUUUGACGUUACCAACAGAAGAAGCACCGGCUAACUUCGUG